GUCCCCUUCGGGGGACAGGGUGACAGGUGGUGCAUGGUUGUCGUCAGCUCGUGUCGUGAGAUGUUGGGUUAAGUCCCGCAACGAGCGCAACCCUCGACCUUAGUUGCCAGCAUUCAGUUGGGCACUCUAAGGUGACUGCCGGCUAAAAGUCGGAGGAAGGUGGGGAUGACGUCAAAUCAUCAUGCCCCUUAUGACCUGGGCUACACACGUGCUACAAUGGGCGGUACAAAGGGUCGCGAACCCGCGAGGGGGAGCCAAUCCCAAAAAGCCGCUCUCAGUUCGGAUUGCAGGCUGCAACUCGCCUGCAUGAAGCCGGAAUCGCUAGUAAUCGCGGAUCAGCAUGCCGCGGUGAAUACGUUCCCGGGCCUU
rnacentral:rRNA from 1 species